rnacentral:misc_RNA from 1 species
GAUGAAGAACGUAGCGAAAUGCGAUAAGUAGUGUGAAUUGCAGAAUUCAGUGAAUCAUCGAAUCUUUGAACGCACAUUGCGCCCCUUGGUAUUCCAUGGGGCAUGCCUGUUCGAGCGUCAUUUGUACCCUCAAGCUAUGCUUGGUAUUGGGCGAUUUUGUCCGGCUCCCACGCCUGGACUCGCCUCAAAGCGAUUGGCAGCCGGCGUUUUUGAUGGCAGUGGAGCGCAGCACAUUUUGCGCUCCGGAUGCCCCCGUAAAGAAAACGACGGCGUUCCAUGAAGCCAUGUUUCUCACGUUUGACCUCGGAUCAGGCAGGGAUACCCGCUGAACUUAAGCAUAUCAAUAAGCGGAGGA